GACAAGAAAUAACAAUACAGGGCAAUUGUCUUGUAAUUGGAAUGAUGGUGACCUAAACCCUCACCAGAGUAACAAUUGGAGGGCAAGUCUGGUGCCAGCAGCCGCGGUAAUUCCAGCUCCAAUAGCGUAUAUUAAACUUGAAGCAGUUAAAAAGCUCGUAGUUGAAUUUCUGCGUUAUCGAGUUAUUGACUCUUGUCUUUAAUCGAUUUCGCUUUUCCGAUUUAUCCCUUUUUACUUUGAGAAAAUUAGAGUGUUUCAAGCAGACUUUUGUCUUGAAUACUUCAGCAUGGAAUUGUAGAGUAGGACUUUGGUUCUAUUUUGUUGGUUUUUGAACCUUAGUAAUGGUUAAUAGGAACGGUUGGGGGCAUUCGUAUUUAACUGUCAGAGGUGAAAUUCUUAG
rnacentral:rRNA from 1 species